GGAUUGUGGCUCAGUGGUAAAGUGCUUGCCUAGCACAUGUGAGGCACUGGGUUUGAUUCUCAGCACCA
rnacentral:tRNA from 1 species